rnacentral:tRNA from 1 species
GUCUCGGUAGUUAUUGGAUAGAGCACAGUGCCCGGAAAGCACAAGUACGAGUUCGAGUCCCGUCCGAGACU